rnacentral:rRNA from 1 species
UAGUAUGGGGAUCUGCUCGAUAGAGGGGGAUAACUACUGGAAACGGUGGCUAAUACCGCAUAAUGUCUACGGACCAAAGCAGGGGCUCUUCGGACCUUGCACUAUCGGAUGAACCCAUAUGGGAUUAGCUAGUAGGUGGGGUAAAGGCUCACCUAGGCGACGAUCUCUAGCUGGUCUGAGAGGAUGAUCAGCCACACUGGGACUGAGACACGGCCCAG